UACGUAGGGUCCGAGCGUUGUCCGGAAUUACUGGGCGUAAAGAGCUCGUAGGUGGUUUGUCGCGUUGUUCGUGAAAACUCACAGCUCAACUGUGGGCGUGCGGGCGAUACGGGCAGACUUGAGUACUGCAGGGGAGACUGGAAUUCCUGGUGUAGCGGUGGAAUGCGCAGAGUAUCAGGAGGAACACCGGUGGCGAAGGCGGGUCUCUGGGGCAGUAACUGACGCUGAGGAGCGAAAGCCGUGGGGAGCGAACAGG
rnacentral:rRNA from 1 species